rnacentral:rRNA from 1 species
CCUACGGGUGGCAGCAGUGAGGAAUAUUGGUCAAUGGGCGCGAGCCUGAACCAGCCAAGUCGCGUGAAGGAUGACUGCCCUACGGGUUGUAAACUUCGUUUAUAAAGGAAUAAAGUGAGGCACGUGUGCCUUCUUGGUUGUACUUUAUGUAUAAGGAUCGGCAAACUUCGGGCCAGCAGCCGCGGUAAUAUGGAGGGUGCGAGCGUUAUCCGGAUUUAUUGGGUUUAAAGGGAGCGUAGAUGGGUUGUUAAGUUAGUUGUGAAAGUUUGCGGCUCAACCGUAAAAUUGCAAUUGAUACUGGCAGCCUUGAGUACAGUAGAGGUGAGCGGAAUUCGUGGUGUAGCGGUGAAAUGCUUAGAUAUCACGAAGAACUCCGGUUGCGAAGGCAGCCUACUGGACUGCAACUGACGUUGAUGCUCGAAAGUGUGGGUAUCAAACAGGAUUAGAUACCCCGGUAGUC